rnacentral:sRNA from 1 species
AGUCAAGGUCCGGAGUCUGUGGGUUAUGAUUUGGGUUCACGCACCCCACAGACAUCAACUUGACCUGGUU